rnacentral:rRNA from 1 species
AGUGAACGCUGGCGGUAGGCCUAACACAUGCAAGUCGAACGGCAGCACAGUAAGAGCUUGCUCUUACGGGUGGCGAGUGGCGGACGGGUGAGGAAUACAUCGGAAUCUACUUUUUCGUGGGGGAUAACGUAGGGAAACUUACGCUAAUACCGCAUACGACCUACGGGUGAAAGUAGGGGAUCUUCGGACCUUGCGCGAUUGAAUGAGCCGAUGUCGGAUUAGCUAGUUGGCGGGGUAAAGGCCCACCAAGGCGACGAUCCGUAGCUGGUCUGAGAGGAUGAUCAGCCACACUGGAACUGAGACACGGUCCAGACUCCUACGGGAGGCAGCAGUGGGGAAUAUUGGACAAUGGGCGCAAGCCUGAUGCAGCCAUACCGCGUGGGUGAAGAAGGCCUUCGGGUUGUAAAGCCCUUUUGUUGGGAAAGAAAAGCAGCAGGUUAAUACCCCGCUGUUCUGACGGUACCCAAAGAAUAAGCACCGGCUAACUUCGUG